AGAGUUUGAUCCUGGCUCAGGACGAACGCUGGCGGCGCGCCUAACACAUGCAAGUCGAACGAGAGAUGAGGAGCUUGCUCUUCAAAUCGAGUGGCGAACGGGUGAGUAACGCGUGAGGAACCUGCCUCAAAGAGGGGGACAACAGUUGGAAACGACUGCUAAUACCGCAUAAGCCCACGGCUCGGCAUCGAGCAGAGGGAAAAGGAGCAAUCCGCUUUGAGAUGGCCUCGCGUCCGAUUAGCUAGUUGGUGAGGUAACGGCCCACCAAGGCGACGAUCGGUAGCCGGACUGAGAGGUUGAACGGCCACAUUGGGACUGAGACACGGCCCAGACUCCUACGGGAGGCAGCAGUGGGGAAUAUUGCACAAUGGGGGAAACCCUGAUGCAGCGACGCCGCGUGGAGGAAGAAGGUCUUCGGAUUGUAAACUCCUGUUGUUGAGGAAGAUAAUGACGGUACUCAACAAGGAAGUGACGGCUAACUACGUGCCAGCAGCCGCGGUAAAACGUAGGUCACAAGCGUUGUCCGGAAUUACUGGGUGUAAAGGGAGCGCAGGCGGGAGAACAAGUUGGAAGUGAAAUCCAUGGGCUCAACCCAUGAACUGCUUUCAAAACUGUUUUUCUUGAGUAGUGCAGAGGUAGGCGGAAUUCCCGGUGUAGCGGUGGAAUGCGUAGAUAUCGGGAGGAACACCAGUGGCGAAGGCGGCCUACUGGGCACCAACUGACGCUGAGGCUCGAAAGUGUGGGUAGCAAACAGGAUUAGAUACCCUGGUAGUCCACACCGUAAACGAUGAUUACUAGGUGUUGGAGGAUUGACCCCUUCAGUGCCGCAGUUAACACAAUAAGUAAUCCACCUGGGGAGUACGACCGCAAGGUUGAAACUCAAAGGAAUUGACGGGGGCCCGCACAA
rnacentral:rRNA from 1 species